UCGUGAAACCGCGAACGGCUCAUUAUAACAGCUAUAAUUUACUUGAUCUUGACUUCCUACUUGGAUAACUGUGGUAAUUCUAGAGCUAAUACAUGCACCAAAGCUCCGACCUUACGGGAAGAGCGCAUUUAUUCGAACAAAACCAAGCGGCUUCGGCCGUCCGCAGUUGACUCAGAAUAACUAAGCUGAUCGCAUGGUCUUGUACCGGCGACGUGUCUUUCAAGUAUCUGCCUUAUCAACUUUCGAUGGUAGUGUAUCUGACUACCAUGGUGGUGACGGGUAACGGAGGAUAAGGGUUCGACUCCGGAGAAGGGGCCUGAGAAAUGGCCACUACGUCUAAGGAUGGCAGCAGGCGCGCAAAUUACCCACUCUCAGAAUGAGGAGGUAGUGACGAGAAAUAACGAGACCGUUCUCUACGAGGCCGGUCAUCGGAAUGGGUACAAUUUAAA
rnacentral:rRNA from 1 species